rnacentral:lncRNA from 1 species
UUGUCAAAACAAACCCGAAACGAUCCAGACGAUCCGACUCCGGUCAGAAACGGAAGUGCUCGCCUAGGGCACUGCGCAUGUGGCGGUGUGCAUGAGUCAAGUGCUUUGUGCCGCUUGUGGGCGGGGGCGGCGUUGGUAUAAAAUUUGAAUAUCUCCGAUGGUCGUAAAACUGUGUCGGAGAUUUAUCUUAAAGUCGCGCAAUUGCACGCGCCUUUAGGCUGAUGCGGCAGAUUGAUUUCGAGCUACUGUCCGUAGUUCCAGCCCCUGUCCACAGAACCAAAGUGGAAUUUGAUGUCAUAAUUUGGAAUAUUCACUGGCGGGGUUGAUAGAUGGGAAGAUGUAUCAAAUCGAAUUCAUAAUUAAUUCAUGUGCACAAAUUAUGAAGAUAUUCCGAUUGUAAAAUACCAUUG